UCCGGGCACGGUGGCACAUGCCUGUAAUCCCAGCAGCUUGGGAGGCUGAAUCAGGAGGAUCACAAGUUCAAAGCCAGCCGCAGCAACUUAGCAAGUCCCUAAGCAAAACAGUGAGACCCUGUCUCUA
rnacentral:sRNA from 1 species